rnacentral:rRNA from 1 species
UAGGGAAUAUUGCACAAUGGGCGAAAGCCUGAUGCAGCAACGCCGCGUGCGCGAUGAAGGCCUUCGGGUCGUAAAGCGCUUUUCGGGGAGAUGAGGAAGGACAGUAUCCCCGGAAUAAGGAUCGGCUAACUACGUGCCAGCAGCCGCGGUAAAACGUAGGAUCCGAGCGUUAUCCGAAUUCACUGGGCGUAAAGCGCGUGCAGGCGGUCCGGUAAGUUGGAUGUGAAAUCUCCUGGCUCAACUGGGAGAGGACGUUCAAUACUGUCGGACUCGAGGACGGUAGAGGGAGGUAGAAUUCCCGGUGUAGUGGUGAAAUGCGUAGAUAUCGGGAGGAAUACCAGUGGCGAAGGCGGCCUCCUGGACCGUUCCUGACGCUCAGACGCGAAAGCUAGGGGAGCAAACGGGAUUAGAAACCCCGGUAGUCCUAGCCGUAAACUAUGUAGACUUGGUGUCGGUGGUGUAAAAACCAUCGGUGCCGUAGCUAACGCGUUAAGUCUACCGCCUGGGGACUACGGCCGC